UACGUAGGGGGCAAGCGUUGUCCGGAAUUAUUGGGCGUAAAGAGCUCGUAGGCGGUCUGUUGCGUCCGCUGUGAAAACUCGGGGCUUAACCCCGAGCCUGCAGUGGAUACGGGCAGACUAGAGGUAGGUAGGGGAGAAUGGAAUUCCCGGUGUAGCGGUGAAAUGCGUAGAUAUCAGGAGGAACACCUGUGGCGAAAGCGGCUCACUGGACCAUAACUGACGCUGAUGCACGAAAGCUAGGGGAGCAAACAGG
rnacentral:rRNA from 1 species